rnacentral:rRNA from 1 species
ACAACGAAGAGUUUGAUCCUGGCUCAGGAUGAACGCUAGCGACAGGCUUAACACAUGCAAGUCGAGGGGCAGCAGGGGGAGGAGCAAUCCUCCCCGCUGGCGACCGGCGCACGGGUGAGUAACACGUAUGGAACCUGCCCGUCACAGGGGGAUAAGCAGAAGAAAUUCUGUCUAAUACCGCGUAAUAUCCCCGAGGGGCAUCCCUUGGGGAUUAAAGGAAGUAAUUCCGGUGACGGAUGGCCAUGCGGCGCAUUAGCUAGUUGGCGGGGUAACGGCCCACCAAGGCGACGAUGCGUAGGGGUUCUGAGAGGAAGGUCC